CCUACGGGGGGCAGCAGUGGGGAAUAUUGCACAAUGGGGGAAACCCUGAUGCAGCGACGCCGCGUGAGUGAAGAAGUAUCUCGGUACGUAAAGCUCUAUCAGCAGGGAAGAAAAUGACGGUACCUGACUAAGAAGCCCCGGCUAACUACGUGCCAGCAGCCGCGGUAAUACGGAGGGGGCAAGCGUUAUCCGGAUUUACUGGGGGUAAAGGGAGCGUAGACGGCAGCACAAGUCUGGAGGGAAAUCCCGGGGCUUAACUCCGGAACUGCUUGGGAAACUGGGCGGCUGGAGUGCAGGAGGGGUAAGCGGAAUUCCUGGUGUAGCGGUGAAAUGCGUAGAUAUUAGGAGGAACACCGGUGGCGAAGGCGGCUUACUGGACUGUAACUGACGUUGAGGCUCGAAAGCGUGGGGAGCAAACAGGAUUAGAUACCCGUGUAGUC
rnacentral:rRNA from 1 species